rnacentral:rRNA from 1 species
UACGAAGGGUGCAAGCGUUUGUCCGGAAUUAUUGGGCGAAAGAGCUCGUAGGCGGUCUGUUGCGUCCGCUGUGAAAACUCGGGGCUUAACCCCGAGCCUGCAGUGGAUACGGGCAGACUAGAGGUAGGUAGGGGAGAAUGGAAUUCCCGGUGUAGCGGUAGAAAUGCGCAGAUAUCUGGAGGAACACCGGUGGCGAAGGCGGCAUCCUGGACCGGUAUUGACGCUGAGGCGCGAAAGCCAGGGAGCAAACAGG